rnacentral:lncRNA from 1 species
CCAGGUAUUACAAUUUUUGGACUACUUUUUAUAGCUCAAGUGAGUGAAAUUCCAUCUUGGGGCCUUUUUUUGGAUUUGGAUCAAUGUUUUUGAUUAAAGGCCAGAAUGUGAUGCUUGCUUUGCUAAGCAUGCUAUCUACAUAGUUUAUUCAAUGUUUGGCUUAAAACCUCAGGUAGUUAAUAGUUGAAGUUUUUAAUUUCAAACCAUGUGACGUGUGUGAAAUAUGCCCAAAUUCAUAAUUAACGAACUAAUGUUGACUGUGAUAAUCAGGGAAUAGUGA